AACGUACGCUGGCGGCACGCCUAACACAUGCAAGUCGAACGAAGUAGCAAUACUUAGUGGCAGACGGGUGAGUAACAUGUGGGUAUCUGCCCUUUGGCCUGGAAUAACACGAGGAAACUUGUGCUAAUACCGGAUAAGUCUUUACGGAGAAAGCUUUAUGCACCAUUGGAUGAGCCCGCACUUGAUUAGUUUGUUGGUGGGGUAAUGGCCUACCAAGACUGUGAUCAAUAGCUGAUUUGAGAGGAUGAUCAGCCACAUUGGGACUGAGACACGGCCCAAACUCCUACGGGAGGCAGCAGUGGGGAAUCUUGCACAAUGGAGGAAACUCUGAUGCAGCGAUGCCGCGUGAGUGAAGAAGGCCCUUGGGUUGUAAAGCUCUUUCGUCGGGGAAGAAAAUGACUGUACCCGAAUAAGAAGGUCCGGCUAACUUCGUGCCAGCAGCCGCGGUAAUACGAAGGGACCUAGCGUAGUUCGGAAUUACUGGGCUUAAAGAGUUCGUAGGUGGUUGAAAAAGUUAGUGGUGAAAUCCCAGAGCUUAACUCUGGAACUGCCAUUAAAACUUUUCAGCUAGAGUAUGAUAGAGGAAAGCAGAAUUUCUAGUGUAGAGGUGAAAUUCGUAGAUAUUAGAAAGAAUACCAAUUGCGAAGGCAGCUUUCUGGAUCAUUACUGACACUGAGGAACGAAAGCAUGGGUAGCGAAGAGGAUUAGAUACCCUCGUAGUCCAUGCCGUAAACGAUGUGUGUUAGACGUUGGAAAUUUAUUUUCAGUGUCGCAGGGAAAGCGAUAAACACACCGCCUGGGGAGUACGACCGCAAGGUUAAAACUCAAAUGAAUUGACGGGGACCCGCACAAGUAGUGGAGCAUGUGGUUUAAUUCGAAGAUACGCGCAGAACCUUACCAACACUUGACAUGUUCGUCGCGACUCUAAGAGAUUAGAGUUUUCGGUUCGGCCGGACGAAACACAGGUGCUGCAUGGCUGUCGUCAGCUCGUGUCGUGAGAUGUUGGGUUAAGUCCCGCAACGAGCGCAACCCUCACUUUUAGUUGCCAUCAUUAAGUUGGGCACUCUGAAAGAACUGCCAGUGAUAAGCUGGAGGAAGGUGGGGAUGACGUCAAGUCCUCAUGGCCCUUACGUGUUGGGCUACACACGUGCUACAAUGGUAUCUACAACAGGAAGCAAGACUGCGAAGUCAAGCAAAUCCUUAAAAGAUACCUCAGUUCGGAUUGCACUCUGCAACUCGAGUGCAUGAAGCUGGAAUUACUAGUAAUCGUGGAUCAGCGUGCCACGGUGAAUGCGUUCCCGGGUCU
rnacentral:rRNA from 1 species